UAAAUGUAAUCCAGCAUAUAAACAGAGCCA
rnacentral:piRNA from 1 species